rnacentral:snRNA from 1 species
GUGCUCGCUUUGGCAGCACAUAAACUAAAAUUGGAAUGACACAGAGAAGAUUAGCAUGGCCCCUGUGCAAGGAUGUCAUGCAAAUUCAUGAAGCGUUCCAUGUUUUU